rnacentral:rRNA from 1 species
UACAGAGGUGGCAAGCGUUUGUUCGGAAUUACUGGGCGUAAAGGGCGCGUAGGCGGCCUUCUAAGUCAGACGUGAAAUCCCCCGGCUUAACCUGGGAACUGCGUCUGAUACUGGAGGGCUUGAGUAUGGGAGAGGGAUGUAGAAUUCCAGGUGAUAGCGGUGAAAUGCGUAGAUAUCUGGAGGAAUACCGGUGGCGAAGGCGGGUCUCUGGGCCGAUACUGACGCUGAGGAGCGAAAGCGUGGGGAGCGAAACAGG